rnacentral:rRNA from 1 species
AUUGAACGCUGGCGGCAGGCCUAACACAUGCAAGUCGAACGAGUGGCGGACUGGUGAGUAAUGUCUGGGAACCUGCCUGAUGGAGGGGGAUAACUACUGUAAACGGUAGCUAAUACCGCAUACCAUCGGAUGUGCCCAGAUGGGAUUAGCUAGUAGGUGGGGUAAAGGCUCACCUAGGCGACGAGCCCUAGCUGGUCUGAGAGGAUGACCGGCCACACGGGAACUGAGACACGGUCCAGAAUCCGACGGGAGGCAGCAGUGGGGAAUAUUGCACAAUGGGCGCAAGCCUGAUGCAGCCAUGCCGCGUGUAUGAAGAAGGCCUUCGGGUUGUAAAGUACUUUCGGCGGGGAGGCGUUACCCGCCGAAGAAGCACCGGCUAACUCCGUGCCAGCAGCCGCGGUAAUUC